UACGUAGGGUGCAAGCGUUGUCCGGAAUUAUUGGGCGUAAAGAGCUCGUAGGCGGUUCGUCGCGUCGGCUGAGAAAUCCCGAGGCUCAACCUCGGGUCUGCAGUCGAUACGGGCGGACUGGAGUUCGGCAGGGGAGACUGGAAUUCCUGGUGUAGCGGUGAAAUGCGCAGAUAUCAGGAGGAACACCGGUGGCGAAGGCGGGUCUCUGGGCCGAUACUGACGCUGAGGAGCGAAAGCGUGGGGAGCGAACAGG
rnacentral:rRNA from 1 species